ensembl:lncRNA
UUGGUUUCCAGUCCACGCAUGAGUUCUCUGAAGACAGAAAUAUCCAGAAAUCUGGCGGCACCGGGCAUUGUGGAGUGUGGCACUGGAAACUCUGAAAGGGGGGCAGGAAGUGGAACUUUCCCAACAGCUGGCCACUGCCCACCCGCCGUGACCAGGUUCAGACCUACAGCCUCACAAGCCCUUCCAGGACGGGAUUUCACAGAAACGGUCACUCGUGCACACAGAUGCAAACCAAGGGACCCCUGUGACACUGGCUGUCCCACACUGGAAGCGGCCAGCGUAGAAGGAGAAGCCACAACACGGCCCCCACCUUGAGCCCUGCUCCCAGUCGGGGAGGAAGAGUCCUGGUGGAGGGUAGAGUGGGCAUGGGGCACUUGGAGUCCCUUCCUGACCCAGCCUCGUGAUCCGUGGACAGCAGGCACCCAGGUGGUGCAUUUCUGUUUCAUGUUUCUGACUUUGUGCCUGGAAAACCUUCCUGCAUUGAAAAUGCUCGCCUCUCACACCAACGCCCAAGACACACAGCACACACAGCACACCCCCAGGACACACAGACACACUCCAGCACACAGACACACCCCACAACACACACCAACGCCCAAGACACACAGCACAUACAGCACACACACCACACCCCACAACACACACCAAUGUCCAAGACACGCAGCACACACACCAUACACCACAACACAGAAAAACACCACAACACACAGACACACCCCACAACACACACCAAYGCCCAAGACAUGCAGCACACACAUCACACACAUCCCAGGACACACAAGUCACACCACACACACCACAACACUGCCACACACAGACACACACAACCAAAGCAGCGUUUCCACCUGGCACGGCACACCUCUGCCGGCCUGGAGGCUUCCCGGAGCCCAGCUGUGGCAGGGACUAGCUGGACGGCAGCCCUCGGGCUGGAGUUGCCGCGGCUCCCUGAGGAGGGGACAUUCUCAGGGCUUCUGCCCUCGGAGCAGCUGUGACUUGGAAAAAGUAAACRGACCCACACCUUCUUCUCCACGUGAUGGUUCCAUGUUGUCCACCGUGGUUCUGACGGGCUGUCCACGGCCCUGGCCAAAGGCUUAGAACCUGCCAGGACACACAGGUCACCUUAGGUACCGUUGCCACAUGGUGCUGGGACCUGAUACGCGAGGCCCGGAGCUGCGUUCUUUGGAAGAGGACACACAAGGUCACCUUAGGUACCGUUGCCACAUGGUGCUGGGACCUGACAUACCAGGCCCUGGAGCUGCGUUCUUUGGAACAGGACACACAAGGUCACCUUAGGUACAGUUGUCACAUGGUGCUGGGACCUGACACACCAGGCCCUGGAGCUGCGUUCUUUGGAACAGGACACACAAGGUCACCUUAGGUACCGUUGCCACAUGGUGCUGGGACCUGACUCGCGAGGCCCUGGAGCUGCGUUCUUUGGAACAGGACACACAAGGUCACCUUAGGUACCGUUGCCACAUGGUGCUGGGACCUGACAUACCAGCCCUGGAGCUGCGUUCUUUGGAACAGGACACACAAGGUCACCUUAGGUACCGUUGCCACAUGGUGCUGGGACCUGACACACCAGCCCUGGAGCUGCGUUCUUUGGAAGAGGACACACAAGGUCACCUUAGGUACCGUUGCCACAUGGUGCUGGGACCUGACACGCGAGGCCCUGGAGCUGCGUUCUUUGGAACAGGACACACAAGGUCACCUUAGGUACCGUUGCCACAUGGUGCUGGGACCUGACACGCGAGGCCCGGAGCUGUGUUCUUUGGAACGGGGAUGAAGGUCGUUUCCAUGGCGCUCUUCCCACCGAGGCCUGGGGUGCAGCUGGGGGCCACUUGCCUCACACAGGGCCGAGCCUCAGCACCGCCCAGUGAAACCCAGGCCAAGACCAAGGGUAGAGCGGCCGGGCGUGUCUGAGGAGCAGUGGCCAAUGGCCCACUUCACGCUGGGCGGGUCCCUGGACAUCGAGGGGCUGUUCCGCGUGUGCGGGACAAUGCUGUGCCCACCGUCCUAACGCUGUCAGUGUCCUUGGUGAACCCGUUGGAGCACCUGGUGGCCCCUGCUGCCUGACUCCAGCCUGGCUCUCUCCAGCCAUGGACAGUCCAUGGCGGCUCUGGGCACCCUCUGCUGGCCCCAGGGCCUUCCCCAGAGGACCUGGCACUGGCCUCUCGGCAGAGCCUAACCGACCGCCUGGGUCGAGCAGAGGCCAUGUGGACUGCCCCACGGGCUUCCUGAUGGGGCUCCACSGCGGACUCUGGUUAGACGUCAGCAGGACCAGCAGUCAGCUGCAACAGGCGCAUCUGGUGCCUCUGGGCCAGAGGGCUGCAGGGGACAUGAUGGCUUCUCUCAGAGCUUCCAACAUGGAGACAGGUGCUCAGAGACUCCCAGGUGGCUGGGUUCUGUCACCCCUGAGUUCAUGUCCUAGCAGCUUGGUCCUCGGCUGGUGGUGUUGAGAGAGGGCGGAACCUUCACCAGGGGGUGCCUAACCGCUGGUUCCCGGUGCCACCGGUGACUCUGCCCUCAGCCAGCCCAGCGCCUCAUGUGCAGAAGGUGCUUUCUUGCGGUGCCCAGUGGUUUCCCAGGGCCACUGCAACAGCACCACAGGGACUGUCACCUCAGCUCUGGAGCCAACGUCUACGAUCAGGGGACCGCUGGGGAGCACCCCUCCUGCUGGCCCAGCUCCUAGUGGCCACUGUCCUGGGCCYGCUGCGUCCCCCCUGGCCUCCCCACACAGCCCUGUUCUCUCGGGGGGCCCCCGUUGCCCACCUUCCUGACGGGCAGCCUCAGGGCGUGCUCCAGGCCCAGAGCGGAGCUUUGCUGAAGCAGGUUCCUCCUGGGUUGGGCGGCUGGGGAGCAGGAAGGGGCUGCUCCAGGAGACGGGCAGCAAGCCUGAGCCGGACGGACAAGCCGCAGAGGAGCUUCCUGGUGACAGCCUCCUGGGUUGGGCAGCCCAGGGAGGAGCACUCCACAGGCCCAGCCUCCCUGGGAGACCCUCCCCCUCGUCCCCGUGGACUCUGGAGCCCCCCCAUCACUUAUUUGUGGUGGAUUAGUGGAUCAGCCCUGGGCUGACAGGCACCCCAGACCCGGGGCAGGGGCUUCAAAAYAGAAGCUCCUCUGCCACGGCAGGGCCUGGGGGUUGAGGCAGGYUGUCCCCAGGGCUGUGCUCCUGCCGAAGGCUCUGGGGCGGCUMCCUCCUGGUCUCGCAGCUGCGAGCAGUGGCUGGCAGCAACCCUGGGCUGAGCCGCGCACAUCACCUCCUGUGGAUCCUCAUGUGUGCCCCCCCUUGCAAGAGCACCAGUCAUCGGCAAGAAUGACUUAACUAGUGACAUCUGCAAAAAUUACUUUCCAAACAAGGCUGCACUCUGAGAUCCUGAGCGGCCAUGAAUCCUGGGGCCCGCUGUUCAAACUCCUCACAGCGGAUGAUGUCAUUGGGUUCAGGAAGCAGAAAGAGAGAGGAAUGUAAAGAGAAAAUCCUUGUCUCUGUGACUCCGUGAGAACAUUCCAGAAUAGUGAUUCAUCCUGAAAGCCACAGCCAGCUCCCAACGUAAGCAUCUGGCAGGUCCCAACAGGACCCACCUUCCAGGGGAGCAUUGGCCCUCCGUCACUCAGCUGCCAAUGCCACAGCCGAGUGGCACCAGCUCCUUCCCACCUGCACAGGACUGGGGCUGGUGCCACGUCAGGGAUGCUCAUUGGCAGUGCUCACCAGAGAGAGUGCAAGGCUGGUGAGAAACACGCGAAGACCCAAGAGCAGAUCCAAAGGCAGAGAUCCUGAGCCAGGCGCUGUGUCCCUGGAAGGCCUGCCGAGGAGCUCCUGGUGGCUUGGGACACUGCCCUGGUUGCCUGUAUGUUGUGCUCACAGAGCUGCCUUCUCUGAGUGACUGCUGUGCGCAURCUCCCAGAGGACAGGGCUGCCAGCCCACUUCCCAGGUUGUCCRUCAGGAGUCAUGCCCAGGACCUGAGAGCCUGUGCCUACAGCAGCCUUGGUACUGAGGCACUGGGCAGAGCAGCUCAGAAGGCGCAGGGGGGUUGGGUAUGUCAACAAGGGCAUUGGGGGGGAGGGACAGGUACCAGGGAUUGAACUCAGGGCCCUGAACGGCUAAGCCCCACCCCACAGCCCUAUUUUGUAUUUGGAGACAAGGUCUCACUGAGUUGCCCAGGGCCUCAUGGUUGCUGAGGCUGGUUUGAACUCUCAUGAGAUCCUCCUGCCUCAGCCUCCCAAGCCGCUGGGAUUACAGGCAUGCACAGUGCUAAUGACGUUUUGGAACAACAUAACAUUUCACAUUUAUGUAUUCAAAGCUAUUUUCAAGCUAUUAUAUAAGGAGGCAUAAAUAAAGUCAUACUGUACAUUGGAAUCCGGUUGAAA